CUCCCCUGGUUCUCAGAUCUGGAACUACACCACCAGCUUUCCUGGGCCGGCUUGCAGACAGAAGAUCCUGGGACUUCUCAGCCUCCAUAAUUGUAACCUCCAAUACAAAAUUGACUCAUUGUUUCAGUCCUGAUAGAAUGAUUCCAAAGUUUCUGAGGAAGUACAAUAUCUGCUAAAAAGUUACUAACAGCUGGUAAGCGCCCUGUGAAGACCACCCAUCCUGUGCAAACACAUCUGACACUCCGGGUCUCGUCUCCACAGCCCCUGGCACCCAGCAGGGAACCUAGUCAGGGCCAGAAAGAAUGUCUUAUGCUGGAUUCUGGGGAGGCUCUCCCAGACGGGGGUUGCUUCUUUCUGGAUGUGGACAUGUGUCCGGACACUUCUGCGCUCCAAGAACCCCGGAGUUUCCACUCCAGCCUUGGGCAGACACUUGGUUUGGUUUUCCUCCCAUGCUACGACUGUCAUUGAUGACAUACUCAGGAAAUGGAGAUUGCAACGGUUGCAUCAGCAGGCUCCACAUGACAGACUGAGGAAGCUUCUAAACAGAACUAUUUACUUGUUAUAAAAUAAAAUAUGUGAGAUCCAAGUUUCCCAUCAAUCCUAUCACCAGAGGUAAACACCAUUAACUAUUUGGGGUGUGUAUGUCAGGCACGCACAUACUACACAUAACGACAUGUAUUUCUAUACUUGUGUUCUGUGCUUUUCAAACAUAUGCACAUGUUUGAAUAAUGUGAGUCCAAUAUAAAUAUUGUUUAUUUUUUUCAACAGCCAUAUAAUCCUCCACCAUAUGGCCAUGCUAUAAUCAUCCUUUCCCUUAUUAAUAUAUAUUUUUAGGUUGUUUCCUUCUACCUUGAAUUAACAUAUAUUUAGAACAGAUUUCUAGAAAUCAGUUGUUGAAGUAUAAGGUAAGCAUAUGUAUUUUUCAUUUUGCUUAAUUUUAAGAGAUACUUGCAAUUAGUCCUUCGUCCCUGAAUUUAGAGUCUGGUCUAUGAACUGUGAUUUACUGGUCCAUAAUGAGUAAGUGUUUAGAAAUGUUCAUCAUAAUUUGAUAUGCCCAUGAUAUCCAAACAUAUGGUUUUAUAUUUUAUAAAAGUAUUGGACUAAAAAACUUUGUUAUUUAAAAAUAGUAACAAUAAUAAUAAUAAUGUUAAAACAAAAAGAAUAUGGAAAGACUCCAUUU